UCCGGUUUAACACCGGCGGUCUCCUUAGAGUCCCCAACUUAAUGGUGGCAACUAAGGAUAGGGGUUGCGCUCGUUGCGGGACUUAACCCAACAUCUUACGACACGAGCUGACGACAGCCAUGCAGCACCUAUCUCCUUGUCACCGAAGUGAAAGCCGUAUCUCUACGGUUGUCAAGGGAUGUUAAGCCCAGGUAAGGUUCUUCGCGUUGCUUCGAAUUAAACCACAUACUCCACCGCUUGUGCGGGCCCCCGUCAAUUUCUUUGAGUUUCAACCUUGCGGCCGUACUUCCCAGGCGGGAUACUUAAUGCGUUAGCUUCGAUACUCAGAGGGUUAACACUCCGAACAUCUAGUAUCCAUCGUUUACGGCGUGGACUAC
rnacentral:misc_RNA from 1 species